rnacentral:rRNA from 1 species
AUUGAACGCUGGCGGCAGGCCUAACACAUGCAAGUCGGACGGUAGCACAGAGGAGCUUGCUCCUCGGGUGACGAGUGGCGGACGGGUGAGUAAUGUCUGGGGAUCUGCCCGAUAGAGGGGGAUAACCACUGGAAACGGUGGCUAAUACCGCAUAACGUCGCAAGACCAAAGAGGGGGACCUUCGGGCCUCUCACUAUCGGAUGAACCCAGAUGGGAUUAGCUAGUAGGCGGGGUAAUGGCCCACCUAGGCGACGAUCCCUAGCUGGUCUGAGAGGAUGACCAGCCACACUGGAACUGAGACACGGUCCAGACUCCUACGGGAGGCAGCAGUGGGGAAUAUUGCACAAUGGGCGCAAGCCUGAUGCAGCCAUGCCGCGUGUAUGAAGGAGGCCUUCGGGUUGUAAAGUACUUUCAGCGGGGAGGAAGGCGGUGAGGUUAAUAACCUCGCCGAUUGACGUUACCCGCAGAAGAAGCACCGGCUAACUCCGUGCCAGCAGCCGCCGUAA